rnacentral:rRNA from 1 species
UACAGAGGUCUCAAGCGUUGUUCGGAUUCAUUGGGCGUAAAGGGCUCGUAGGCGGUUCGUCACGUCGGGCGUGAAAACUCGGAGCUUAACUCCGAGCCUGCUUCCGAUACGGGCAGACUAGAGGUAGGCAGGGGAGAGCGGAACUCCUGGUGUAGCGGUGGAAUGCGCAGAUAUCAGGAGGAACACCGGUGGCGAAGGCGGGUCUCUGGGCCGAUACUGACGCUGAGGAGCGAAAGCGUGGGGAGCGAACAGG